rnacentral:lncRNA from 1 species
CAAUAUAUUUUGAAAUCUUAUAAUAAUUAAUUUUUAUCAUAAUUAUUUUUGGAGUACAAUCUUUAAUUUUUAUGAAAUUAAUUUAAUUUUGACGGAUUUUUGAUGAAAAUAUUCAGAAUUUUCGAAAUCUGUGAAAGUGUACCGGUACAAAAUACCGCGUACCGGUACAAAACACUGUAUACCGCGUUAUUAUAACCGGUUACAGGGCUCAGUUUUCUUUCAAAACAUAAUCAACAUCUCUCCUCUCUCUCUCUAAAAUUCCCUGGUGCCUUCCUCCUUCAGAUUCACAUGUUUUCUUCAACAUCUCUCCUCUCUCUCUCUAAAAUUCCCU